GACGUAGGGGGCCAGCGUUGCUCGGAAUCACUGGGCUUAAAGGGCGCGUAGGCGGUCCGACAAGUCAGGGGUGAAAUCCUGCAGCUUAACUGCAGAAGUGCCUCUGAUACUGUCGGUCUUGAGGGAGAUAGGGGUGUGCGGAACUUCCAGUGGAGCGGUGAAAUGCGUUGAUAUUGGAAGGAACGCCGGAGGCGAAAGCGGCGCACUGG
rnacentral:rRNA from 1 species